ACAAAAUAAUUAUUUUUUACUGGAAACAUACUCAUGAAGUUGUCCAUGUAUGGAGGACCCAGCUAACAAUAAAUGUAUGAUGAUAGCUUCAAAGAAUCACGGAUGCACGUAUGACUUAGCUGGCAAUAUACAUCUGCAUACCUCGCUUCUGUGUGUUGCGUACAUCUAGGUAUAGUUGCAUGUACAUUAAGAGUACAAGGUGCGUUGAUGACCAUCAGAUUCUAAGGACAAAUCCAAUGGUGGUGUGGACGUCCUUGUAGAUCAGCUCCGACUAUAAAGUUAGAAGAAGCUUUACUUCAUGUUGGAACAAAAUGGAAGUUCCCUGUCAUGUGAUGAUGUUUAUUAUGUUAUAGAUUGUAAGUUGAUGGUAUAUUGACUAUUGCUAGAUAUUAUAUGCCCUGUUAAUUU